rnacentral:misc_RNA from 1 species
UUUCCGUAGGUGAACCUGCGGAAGGAUCAUUAAAAAAUUGGACUCCAUUGGUGAGUUCAUUAAUAAUCCCUACCCUUUGUGAAUUUGUUUGUUUGAAUAAUUUUUUUCCAAAAAAAAUUAUUGAAUGUCUUUCCUUGUUUUGGUGGAGCUUGUAAAGUGAAACCAGGCAGGGGAAUGGCAAACAAUAAUUAUUUUUGAAAAAGACCUUUUUUUAAAAUUAAACUUUUUGUAUUCAUUUGUCUAAAAUUAAUUUUUAUAAUAUAAAAACAACUUUUGACAAUGGAUCUCUUGGUUCUCGCAACGAUGAAGAACGCAGCAAAAUGCGAUAAGUAGUGUGAAUUGCAGAAUACGUGAAUCAUCGAAUCUUCGAACGCAUAUUGCACUUUUUAGUUUACUAAAAAAGUAUGUCUGUUUGAGUAUCAGUAAAAUAUUCUCAUAAAAAACAUUGUUUUUUUUAUGGUAUGAGUGUUUUACAACGAUAACAAGUUGUUUCACUUUAAAUUCUUUGUUAUCAAAAAAAUCAUUAAAAGCUAAUUUUAAAGAUUUUUAAAAUUGGAUAAAAUUUUCCCGUAAAAAGGAAUAACCUAAACAAUUUUAAAAAUUAAAAUUGGUUUGAUUUUUUUUGAAACCCAAAGGAAAAUAAAACGAAAUUAACUUGAUCUCAAAUCAGAUAAGAGUACCCGCUGAACUUAAGCAUAUCAAUAAGCGGAGGAAAAGAAACUAACUAGGAUUCCCUCAGUAACGGCGAGUGAAGCGGGAAGAGCUCAAAUUUGAAAUCUUCAAGGUUUUACCUUGACGGAUUGUAGUUUAAAGAGGUGUUUUCUGUUGGAGUUUUGGUAAAAGUUCUUUGGAAAAGGACAUCAUAGAGGGUGAGAAUCCCGUAUUUGACCAUUAUCUCCAGCUUUGUGAUACACUUUCAAAGAGUCGGAUUGUUUGGGAAUGCAGUCCAAAAUGGGUGGUAAUUUCAUCUAAAGCUAAAUACUGGCGAGAGACCGAUAGCGAACAAGUACCGUGAGGGAAAGAUGAAAAGAACUUUGAAAAGAGAGUUAAACAGUACGUGAAAUUGUCAAAAGGGAAGCGUUUGACACCAGUGUUGUUUCUCGAAAAUCAAUUAAAAAAGGCCGGAUUUUGUGUUGUAUUGACUUUAUCAGCUUUCUGCACUCUUUUCUUGUCUUUUUUAAUGCACUUUUCGUUUAACAAGUCAACAUCAAUUUCUUUUGUUGUAAAAGGGUCAUUGGAAGGUGGCUUUCUUUUCGGAGAAAGUGUUUAUAGCCUUUGGCCUCUGCAAUCGGAGAGAUUGAGGUCUGCAGCGUAGAUCCUUCGGGGUUAGAUACAUUUGUGCUAAGUUAUAGCCUUUCAUAGACAACUUGUUGACUAUGAUCAGUCAUGUAGCUUACUCGCUUAUGCUAUUUUACCUACGCUUAGGAUGUUG